rnacentral:rRNA from 1 species
CGCUAUCACUCCUACGGGAGGCAGCAGUGGGGAAUAUUGCACAAUGGGCGCAAGCCUGAUGCAGCCAUGCCGCGUGUGUGAAGAAGGCCUUCGGGUUGUAAAGCACUUUCAGUCGUGAGGAAGGUAGUGUAGUUAAUAGCUGCAUUAUUUGACGUUAGCGACAGAAGAAGCACCGGCUAACUCCGUGCCAGCAGCCGCGGUAAUACGGAGGGUGCGAGCGUUAAUCGGAAUUACUGGGCGUAAAGCGCAUGCAGGCGGUUUGUUAAGCUAGAUGUGAAAGCCCCGGGCUCAACCUGGGAUGGUCAUUUAGAACUGGCAGACUAGAGUCUUGGAGAGGGGAGUGGAAUUCCAGGUGUAGCGGUGAAAUGCGUAGAUAUCUGGAGGAACAUCAGUGGCGAAGGCGACUCCCUGGCCAAAGACUGACGCUCAUGUGCGAAAGUGUGGGUAGCGAACAGGAUUAGAUACCCUGGUAG